rnacentral:rRNA from 1 species
CGGUUGAUCCUGCCGGAGGUUACUGCUAUCCGAAUCCGGCUAAGCUAUGCGAGUCUUGGGUAAAACCAAGGCGAACUGCUCAGUAACACGUCGAUAAUCUGCCCUAUGGUCUGGUCUAAUCCCGGGAAACUGGGGCCGAGGACCGGAUAGGCAAGAGGUACUGGAAUGUCCUCUUGCCCAACAUAGGAUGAGUCGGCGGCCUAUCAGGCUGUUGGGAGUGUAAAGUACUCUCAAACCGAUAACGGGUACGGGCCUUGAGAGAGGAAGCCCGGAGAUGGAUUCUGAGACAUUAAUCCAGGUCCUACGGGGUGCAGCAAGCGCGAAACUUCCGCAAUGCCCGCAAGGGUGACGGAGGGAUUCGGAGUGCUUUCUCCUCUGGAGAGAGCUUUUGUCGAGUCCAAAAAAAGGCGCUGCUAAAGUCAGCGUUUUGUGGAGAGCUCGACGAAUAAGUGGUGGGUAAUACGGGUGCCAGCCGCCAUGCUGGUAGCAGCUUUAAACUGCUCCCGGCACGGUAAGCGGUAAUACCCGAGCCACGAGUGGUAACCACGCUUAUUGGGCUUAGAGCGUUCGUAUCCGGCCAUGCAAGUUUCUGAUGAAAUCCCGCAGCCAACUGCGGGGCGUGUCAGGAAUACUGCUUGGCUUGGGACCGGGAGAGGCCGAGGGUAUUCCUGGGGUAGGAGUAAAAC